UACGUAGGGCGCAAGCGUUUAUCCGGAAUUAUUGGGCGUAAAGAGCUCGUAGGCGGUUUGUCGCGUCUGCCGUGAAAGUCCGGGGCUCAACUCCGGAUCUGCGGUGGGUACGGGCAGACUAGAGUGAUGUAGGGGAGACUGGAAUUCCUGGUGUAGCGGUGAAAUGCGCAGAUAUCAGGAGGAACACCGAUGGCGAAGGCAAGUCUCUGGGCAUUAACUGACGCUGAGGAGCGAAAGCAUGGGGAGCGAACAGG
rnacentral:rRNA from 1 species